UAGAGAUCGGGUUCAAUGCGUCGGGUGUGGGAUUCACACAAUAUAUGCUGAGCGCGAAAGUUGAUAUUGACAGGCAAUCUCUCACCAGAGGGCGUUACGCUACGCUCCACAAAGUGAAGCUUGCGAAGCGCGCCCUCAGGUGAGAGAAUGAUUGACAGGCGCCAUGAUGUUAUACCGGUAAACAACAUUCUGAACAUGAGUCGAGAACAGUUGAUGCAGAUAUUCUGAGGAGAAUCUUCCAGUCAUUGAGUAAGUGAAUUACUGUGUUUGUUAUAGUUAUAAACCCCCUAAUAUAUUGUUCAAAAUGAAACUGACCAUUGCUCAUAUUGUAUGUUGUUGCGUCAAAUCUUGCAAGUCAGUGUUUACGUUCAUAAAUUUACAUGUGUAAGAACAUUUUUUUAUAUAAAAAAAAAUAAGUUGUAUCAGAUGGGAUUCGAACCGGGUGCCGAGAGAAGGUCGCGUGUGAUGGACGGUAUGCAUUAACCUCUGCGCCAUUGAGACUCUGCAACUACGUAGAUAUUUUUGGUAUUCUGUGUGUCUGAUUAUUAUUGUAAAAUUAAUUAUAAUUGACUUUGAAGAGUAUUAUAUUCUAUUAAUUUUGGGUAAAAGUAUCUCUUGUUGAGUUAAAAUAAUUUCGUGUAAUAUUUUUCACACUUAUGAAGACGGUCAGUGAUUGGUCAGUGUGUGUAAUAAUAGAACCUGCUAUUGGCGGUAUUUUUGCACGAGAUACAGAACAACAAAGACGUGUCUGAGGUUGUGUCUAAAUGUAGGUGAUCAGUGUAUUACGUUGACCUUGACCUGUCGUGGUGGCCAUUUUUGGGGCCGGAUAUUGCGUGCCUUGUUUAGAAUAUAUUUCAUGAUAGUCGUGCAGAUUCAGAAGUUAUGAUGGUGUGUUGAUAGGCUGUCUUCAACUUGCCAUAUCUGAGAGUUCCAACAUGCAGGCCUGGAUUAAUGUUUUAUCACAACAAAUGGAUGGGACAGUAGAGCUGUUGCGGACAAUAAGUGAUUGUGAUGACCAAGUACUGAACAAGUGGAAGAUUAGAAGAAGGUCCAGAAUUCAAUCAUGUUUUUGAUUCUAACACGCAGACAGCAUGGAGAUAGUCCUAUUAGUCUCCCGUUCAUUUAUGAUGGAGAAACUUGUGUAAAUGUUUACAGUGUUCUCCCUAAUAAGUGCCCACAAGUCUGUAUUAAUUUAUUAGAAUAUAAAGUCCUUCACAGUACUGAUUUUAAAAUUAAUGUAGAUUGUCUCCAGAUUUUUCUGAGGAAAAGUGCAUAGUUUACAUGUGUGAAUUUUGAAUAUAUUUCAUUCUUGUCUGCAAAUGAUGUCGAAACCUGUUGUUAUUGAUGCACAUAGUCAUGUUAUGCAAAUGAUAGACCUCCUUCUUAAUUACAUGUACACAAGAUCAUGCCAACUCCUUUGUCUUAAUUGUAUACACAAUUCUAGCAUUUAUAGCAUCAUUUAUAUAGCACUUGCUAGUUUAAGAAGGACUUUAUUUUCUAAAAGCAUUCAUUUGACAUGAUUGAUCUAAAACGGCCAAAAUUCACAAAUCUAUUAAAUCACAACCUGACCUUAGGCCAGAAAAGUGCCACUGUGGGUUGAUAUUUUUCUCUUGUAUCUUGAAAAAAUUCUUUAUGCAGCAGUUUCCAAAUAAAAUGUACUCUCAUGGCCAGGGUGGGACUUCACCGAGAACUUUUUAACAUUGCACAAUGCAAUAUUUGUAGAUUAGAAGUUGUUGCAGUUUCUUUAAGUUUUCUCUCACAUCUUGUUAUAAUUAUAUUUUAUAUUUUUGGUCGGGUUGCACAAUGUGCAAACAGUUUAUAAAAUGGUGAAUGACUGGUGGGCAAACGACAGUAGCGUCCCUGUAAUAGUACCUACUUUGUGUAAUCAACUCCUUUCACACCUCUCAUUUGAUGUUCCUCAAACUUUGUACAGUUGUUAGGGAUACAUUGAAGAUGUGCAUGUGCCUUUUUGAAAGUGAUCAGACAUUUUUUGAUAAAAAAUUACAUGUAGUUGAACUUCGUCAUUUUUUAAGCAUGUCUUUAAUCGACAGUACCUAUUUUGUGUAAUUAACUCCUCCUAUACCUCUAACUUGACAUUCUUCAAACUGUACAUUUGUUAUGAACACAUUGAAGAUGUGCAUAUGUGUUUUUGAAAGUUAUCACACAUUUAAAAAAAUGUAUAUGUAGUGAAACUGUAGUUAUGGACACAUUGAAGAUGUGCAUGUGUCUUUUUGAAAGUGAUCAGACUUUUUUCAAAAAAAUUACAUUUAGUUGAAUUUUGUCAUUUGUUUAAGCAUUUCCUGAAUAGAUGGUACCUAUUUUAUGUAAUCAAUUCCUCUUACAGCAUUUAUUUGACAUCCUUCAGACCUUGAACAGCUGUUAUGGAAGCAUUGUAAAUGUGCAUGUGUCUUUUCGGAAGUGAUCAGGCAUUCUUUGAAAAAUUUAAAUGUGCAUGGUGAAGUUGAACUUGUCAUUUUUUAAGUAUGAUACUUUAUGUAACCAACUCAGCUUUUACUUAAUUUUCCAGACCCUGUACAUUAUAGAUGUUUUAAAAACAAUGAAGAUAUUCAUGUAACAUUUUAAAAAUGCUUCUCUUUUUUUCUCUCUCUUUUUGUUGUUGAAAAAUUACUACAUUUAAUUUGUCAUUUUUCCAGUAUGUUUCUACUGUUGUUCAUAUGAUAGAUAACAUAUUUUACAAGAACCCGGUCAUUUCUGUUUUUGAAUAAUUUUUUUAAUUAGUAUUUUUUAAUAUGUUAAUUACUUGAUAUGUCAUUGUUCUUGAAAUUAUAUUAAUUGAAUUGUUAUUGUGUUUUUGUUUUGUAAUGACAGUUUAUAUAGCAUCCCUUAAUUUCGAGCAGACAGUGCCAGAAGUGUGCCGCAAGUUUGCUGCAAACUGUGUGCCAGAAGUCUGCACCAAGAGUGUGCCGCAAGUUUGCCGCAAACUGUGUGCCAGAGGAAAAAUUUGCAUACGAAACGUAUACUUGCGGCAAAUAUGCCGCACACUGUGUGCCAGAAGUGUGCAGAAAGUGUAUGCCGCAAGUUUGCUGCAAACUGUGUGCCAGAGGAAAAAUUUGCACACGAAAAGUAUACUUGCGGCAAAUAUGCCGCACACUGUGUGCCAGAAGUGUGCAGCAAGUGUGUGCCACAACUGUGCCACAAACUGUGUGCCAGAGG